AUACAGCUGCUGCUUGGAGACUCCUCACUGUUACUGCUGCUUCAGUUUUCACCAUUGAAUGAAGAUGGACGAGGAAAAACACAUUACAGAAGAACUAAAUCGUGGCUGUUACAGUCUGGUCAUGCCGACGCCAAUCUCACUUCUGCUAUGCUAGCGGACUUUAUGCUAACGUCUUAGCAUUUAAGCUAACGGACUUUCUCCUUCUUCUUGUGGGUGAUGACUGACCCAGUACAGGAUGAAGGACUGAAAGAAGUCAUUGGCGUAGCGUCGGGAGAUACCUCUUAUAAUCUGCCCUCGAGAGGAACCGUCGUGUCAAAGGAUACACACUUUCACAGGAGACCACUGGACUUCUGGGAACGACAACAGCUACUUGGGCGUCACAGAGCAUUUCAUUGAAGAAGACUGGACUAACCCAGUCAUUUGCACUAACUUAAAUAAAUCUACAUAAGCGGUGACACUUUGACAGCCGACGCAUCAGGCGAGCUCAGGGAAAACCACGCUCAGCGUGUCAGCACGGAGGAGCAUUCACAAGUUACUUCAUUCUUUCACCAGAGGGAGCUGUAGAGCUGCAGCCGGAGCGUGUCCUUUUCUUAGAGUCACAUGAGGAGCUGGAAUCCAUCCCAGAUGGCGAUGGGACGAGAGGCGUGUCACACCCUGGAUGAAAUGUUCAAGAUGAUUAUUGUUAUUAAUGAUAUCAUUCUUGAAAUACACCUGUUCCACAACUGUU